AUUGAACGCUGGCGGCAUGCUUUACACAUGCAAGUCGAACGGUAACAGGCCUUCGGGUGCUGACGAGUGGCGAACGGGUGCGUAAUGCAUCGGAACGUACCCAGAGGUGGGGGAUAACGCAGCGAAAGCUGUGCUAAUACCGCAUGUGUUCUGAGGAUGAAAGCGGGGGACCGAGCAGCAAUGUUUGGCCUCGCGCCUUUGGAGCGGCCGAUGUCGGAUUAGCUAGUUGGUGGGGUAAAGGCCUACCAAGGCGACGAUCCGUAGCUGGUCUGAGAGGACGACCAGCCACACUGGGACUGAGACACGGCCCAGACUCCUACGGGAGGCAGCAGUGGGGAAUUUUGGACAAUGGGCGCAAGCCUGAUCCAGCAAUGCCGCGUGCGGGAAGAAGGCCUUCGGGUUGUAAACCGCUUUUGGCAGGAACGAAACGGUGUCCGCUAAUACCGGGCGCUAAUGACGGUACCUGCAGAAUAAGCACCGGCUAACUACGUG
rnacentral:rRNA from 1 species